rnacentral:rRNA from 1 species
GGAGGAAAAGAAACUAACAAGGAUUCCCCUAGUAGCGGCGAGCGAAGCGGGAAGAGCUCAAAUUUAUAAUCUGGCACCUUCGGUGUCCGAGUUGUAAUCUCUAGAAAUGUUUUCCGCGUUGGACCGCACACAAGUCUGUUGGAAUACAGCGGCAUAGUGGUGAGACCCCCGUAUAUGGUGCGGACGCCCAGCGCUUUGUGAUACAUUUUCGAAGAGUCGAGUUGUUUGGGAAUGCAGCUCAAAUUGGGUGGUAAAUUCCAUCUAAAGCUAAAUAUUGGCGAGAGACCGAUAGCGAACAAGUACCGUGAGGGAAAGAUGAAAAGCACUUUGGAAAGAGAGUUAACAGUACGUGAAAUUGUUGGAAGGGAAACGCUUGAAGUCAGACUUGCUUGCCGAGCAAUCGGUUUGCAGGCCAGCAUCAGUUUUCCGGGAUGGAUAAUGGUAGAGAGAAGGUAGCAGUUUCGGCUGUGUUAUAGCUCUCUGCUGGAUACAUCUUGGGGGACUGAGGAACGCAGUGUGCCUUUGGCGGGGGUUUCGACCUCUUCACACUUAGGAUGCUGGUGGAAUGGCUUUAAACGACCCGUCUUGA